GGAAGCCAAAGGAGGCAAGUAGCAUACCUAAAAGAGCAAAUGAGCAAUGUUCAAUUUAAAUCCCAAUAAACCAUUAUUUUCCUUCAGAGUCUUCCGUAUUUAGAGGGAGUUUUUAAAGAGACAGUGAUUUCAGCUUUUGUAUAAAUACACAUUCUCUGGCUAUCUUCUUAAGAAGGGAAACAAAAAUCUUGAGAGAGAAAAAGAGAAAGAAAAUAAUGGUAGAUCAUUUUUCUUCCUUUCUUUGCCAGAUUUGUAGAGAUCUUCACCACAGUAGGUUUGCGAGCUGAACAAGUAAAGCGCAACUGGGCUGGUUUUUGCUUAGGUAAAAAAAAGCUAAAACAAUCGUCGAUAACUAGCCGAAGGUCUAUCGAAAACAGUCUCUACUUGCACAAAAAAGGCGUGCACACAACCCUUACCAGACUCUAUUUGUGGGAUUACAUUGGGUACGUCGCUAUUAUCGUUGUUGUUGUUGUUGUUGAUUUAGUUUGCUGCUUACUUUUAUUGACACUUCUUUAGAUGAUGAUCUAAAGUAUGUUACCUUCAUCCCAUUAUCAUAAAGUAAAGAUUUUUCCGGCAUAUGUUUAUGUAGAAUUUGAUUUAAUAUUAGUGUUUUUCUUCCAAUUGUAGUUGAAGAUUUUCAUCUC